CAAUUUUAAAAUAAAUAUGUGCCACAGAGAACGUUGAGCAGGACAGAGAGAUGGUGACUUCUGAUGGGAAAAAUCAGUGCUGUCUUGGCUCAUUCUUGCCUUGAUGGAGGAAGAAAGUUUGGCUUCUCAAGGCAGGGAGGCUGAGGUUUUUAUCAACGCUGCUGCGUCUCUGUAAAGAUUCUGGCUGGGGGUAGGGUUUCCUUUAUCUCAGCAGAUGUAGGCUUAGGAAAACAGGAUCCAGGAGACUCAACAUGGCGGGCGGCUUGAACCAGAGCUUAAUUCUCAGCUCCUCAUCCAUCUCCUUAAUGAGCUGUGAGGGUGGACAAGUCACCUCCCCUCUGCUGCUGCCUCAAAAGAGUGAGGUCAAAGGUUGGUCUAGGAAGAUUGGGGGGGAGGGGAAGGGGAGGGGGAAGGAGCUCAUUUUGGAUCCCACUGGCCUUGGCAGAAUGAAUGUUCAGGAAAUCCUCUGAGACUAACAUCCUUCUUCCUGCAGGCCCUCAGUCAGCGUGGCUGGUCUCUGUGAGCAAGGAUGGAUGUGCCCCCAAGGAGGUUCCUGCUGAUGGUAUCCGCUCUCUGGCUGGUGUCCUGAACUGGCCCCUGAGUUGGCCCGGGCCACACUGGACGUGCUCUAUGUGCAGGUGUGUGCAAGGCUAUUGUGAAGCUCUUGUGAAUCGCUCCUCUCUGACCCCGGGAAACGCUUUCAGAGACAACCCCCAAGACACAAGAGACUGUCCUCGGGAGGCCCAGGUGAGCAGAUUGAUAUUCCUACAGGUUGGCAAAGUUUUGCUUCUCCUUAGUUUUAGGCCCAAAGAGUGCAAUUCUGAAUUCAACAUCUCAGCCAGGAGGAAAAUCCUGAAAACCAAACCCAUAUUGUUUUUCAGGAUUUCCUCUUUCCCUUGUCCGCUGGUCUAUUUAUGGGUCACAAUAGCAGCUUUCCUCAGUGGGCAGUCCAAUGUUGUACUCUGUCCCAUCCUCCAGAGGAUUCCCAAGGCCCUCCUUGGCUCCCCCCGCCACACAGUCAGUCAACAAGCAACAUUUAUUAAGCACUUACUAUGUGCUAGGCAUCGUAUUAAGCUCUUGGAGACACAAAGGAAGGUCCAAAAAAUGUCCCUGCCCUGAAAGAGUUCACAUUCAAGUUCACAUUCACACUUACUCUACGUACAGUACAGUACUGUACACGUUAAAAUUCAACAUCUUAAUUACACAGCUCUCCACCCUUGGGAUGGAAGAGUGAUGUAUUUCUAUCCAGGAGGGUCCCCAGAGAAAGGCUGACGGGGAGAUAAUUUCUACCACUCCUCAGAACACUUUGUACCUCGACUGUGCCUGGGUUUUAUCUCCUCUCCUAAACUGCAAACCGAGGUCCCUUCCAGCUCUGACAUUCCACAAUAUUGUUGUUGUUCAGUUAUUUCAGUUAUGUAUGACUCUUGGUGACCCCAUUUGGGGUUUUCUUGGCAGAAAAACUGGAGUGAUUUGCCAUUUCCUUCUCCAGCUCAUUUUACAGAUGAGGAAACAGACAAACAGGGUGAAGUGACUUGCCCAGGGUCACACAGCUAGGACGUGUCUGAGGCCCCAUUUGAAUCCAGGUCUUCCUGACUUCAGGCCCAGCCCUCUAUCCACCGAGCCACCUAGCUGCCCUAUUGCACAUUCAAGACUCCUGUUGGUUCUGUGACCAUGAUUCCAAGUCAGGCUGCUCUUGUAGCCUCUCUACUCUGUUGUCCAUUCAGACUAAAAUGCCACCUUGCUCCCAAACUAUUCUGCCCCUUGCCAGAUCACCACUGGCAAGGAUCCCACUCCCAGCAUUCCAAAGAUGCAUGGCCCCAGACGAAGUUAUCCUCAAUUGUGGCUUUGUUUCAGAACUUGUCCCACCCCCUUCUUCUUUAGACAAGUCUGGCUGGAUAGCCCAAGUGACCCCUGUGGCCAGGCACGGUUACAGGAAGGAGUGAGAAACAAGUAGGCAUGCUAUGUGUAGGUAUCUCUGUGUGCAUGGAUACAACAUGCAUACACAUAUGUGUUUUAUUGUAUGUGUAUUGUAUUAUGCAUGUAUAUAUAUGUAUGCUUGGACUGGCAGGCUCACGUGUAAUGUGUUGUGUUUUGCAUGUAUAUGUAUGUUUUUACAUGU
rnacentral:lncRNA from 1 species